GAUGAACGCUGGCGGCGUGCCUAAUACAUGCAAGUCGAGCGAAUGGAUUAAGAGCUUGCUCUUAUGAAGUUAGCGGCGGACGGGUGAGUAACACGUGGGUACCCUGCCCAUAAGACUGGGAUAACUCCGGGAAACCGGGGAUAAUACCGGAUAACAUUUUGAACCGCAUGGUUCGCAAUUGACAGGCGGCUUCGGCUGUCACUUAUGGAUGGACCCGCGUCGCAUUAGCUAGUUGGUGAGGUAACGGCUCACCAAGGCAACGAUGCGUAGCCGACCUGAGAGGGUGAUCGGCCACACUGGGACUGAGACACGGCCCAGACUCCUACGGGAGGCAGCAGUAGGGAAUCUUCCGCAAUGGACGAAAGUCUGACGGAGCAACGCCGCGUGAGUGAUGAAGGCUUUCGGGUCGUAAAACUCUGUUGUUAGGGAAGAACAAGUGCUAGUUGAAUAAGCUGGCACCUUGACGGUACCUAACCAGAAAGCCACGGCUAACUACGUGCCAGCCGCCGCCGUAA
rnacentral:rRNA from 1 species